GUGUCAGGGCAACAGCAGCAGUAAUCACAUACUAGCAGAUGGGAGUGCUCAUGCUUGACUGAACAGCGUAUACUGUCAUCCAGCCUCACUAUUAAGCUACAAAAAACCACAUACCAUAAUCAUAUUGCCAUCAUCAUUAAAAAAAGUUGGGCAUUGACCUCAUUUCCUCUCUAAUGGUUUUCCAAUUGUUUUCUGACCAUCUCACUGAUUGUUUGAAUAGAUUAUCAGUGUGUUUUAGGCUCAGAGAGAAGAAAAGGCCAUUGGAGCAUCAAGUGCUUAACCGAGAGCUCCAUAGUGAUUGGUCACGUGAUGAUCAAGUGAUGAGCGAAGAUGGAAUAUUUCAUAUCUCAUAUGGGGGUUUUGCAUCAGCCAAGCAACUGCCAUUGAGUGGUGUUCAAGCAUGGACGAGAUAAUCAAGGAGGUGCUCUGACGUUAGCUAGCCACGGGUUGGAGAGGUUGUGGAUGAGAAAAUCGUAAGGGAGGACCACCCAUUGGGCUCGGAGGAGAGAGAUUCCCUGCACGCCAUCUCUUUGGAAUAUUAAUGGGCUUCUCCUGGGAAAACUGCCCACAGAAUAGGCCACUCCAUCGCUGUCUCUGUUUCCGCUCAGCUGUCCUGAGGGUACGUGAGGGUGUUUGGUACAAUCCGGUCUGGAGAAACCUCAAGUACACCUCAAACUUUUUGAUGUUUCAUUAAGAACUCUUGAAGUUGAACGUUUCUCCCCCCCCCCCUCCCCCAGAAUAUAUUACCGCUUUUAUUGCACAAUAAAAAGCACAGGAAUGGCUACAUUUAU